rnacentral:tRNA from 1 species
GCCGGUUUGGCUCAGUGGAUAGAGUGUCAGCCUGCAGACUGAAUGGUCCCGGGUUCGAUUCCUGGUUGCAGGCU